UGGUUAAUUUAUAAGCUGAUAUUAUUCAGUCUUUCAUUUUUCUUAAUAUAUAUGCCAUGCGUUUUGUAAAACCUCUCAGCUACUUAAAGCUAGCAGUUAGUAUUUCUGUAGGAAAAUUCAACGUUUUUGAACCAUAUUUAUUGAGGUCGCAGUACAACUACUGAAGAAUUGGCAAAGGAGAAACAUAGGAGACAAAUGGCCAUAAUUUUCGACUAAAAGAUUGAGGGCUGCAGCAGCUAAUCUUGAAUAUUGGAGGGGCUCCAACAGCUAUCUUGGACCAGCAGCUUCUCUUGGUGGGUGAGAGGCUGCAUGGUCGGAUUUACACUUGGGUGGAUUUCAACAUAGCUAGCAUUUAAUAUUGCUGUUUUCGCUCCAAGCUGCAGUAGUACUUCCGUUUCAAAGAAAAAAGAGUUGUUUGUUGCAAGGACGGCAACAAUAGCGGAGCUGAAAGAGGAGGUUGAAGGUGUUUUCGGUCAUUCGCCAGAUCAGGAUAGAGAAGACGCUACGAUUUCUUGGUGUCUUGUAUGGAGCCAUUUUUGCUUAUGCUACAAAGGUCGGAAACUAGUUGAUGAUAAAGCAUAUAUCCGACUGUAUGGAAUCAAAGAUGAGGAUCAGCUUUAUUUUGUUCGGCAUCUUUCAAUUAAUGGCCAAGAAGACUGCAGGUAGAUCAUGUAGCUAGCUAGGAUGCAUGGAUCGAUCUCGCUGAUCAUUCACUUAAUCAUACAUAU